AUUCUCGACAAUAAAGUGCAGGCUAAAUAUAAUUAAAGUGCUGGUUUUCCAGUUAUGACACUAAACGUUGGUGUGGAAUAAACGUUGCGGACCCGGGGGCGGUACCCGGCGGCUCCACCAUUUAACAUUUUGAAUGUUAAAUGGCGGGGCCGAAAUAGGAUCGACGCGCGCAAUAAAGACAUUAUACGGUGUUCGGCAUUGUAUCCGCCGUUAUCGGGCUAUUAUUACAAAUGCAAAUGAUAAUUUUGUGUUCGUAGCAGCUAACGACAACUCUGUUGUUGAAGGUGAAGGUCGCAUCGCUGCUUAAUUGAGCAGUAGUGACAGCUACAUAGAAUUCUUAGGGAAUUAACCUCCCUUAGUGGGGCCCGAGCCGAGCCUAGCAACAGAGUCGGCUCAUU
rnacentral:tmRNA from 2 species